AUUGAACGCUAGCGGCGUGCCUUAUACAUGCAAGUCGAACGAGGGGCGGAGGGGUGAGUAACAUAUCGGACCGUGCCCAGUAGCGGGGGAUAACUACUCGAAAGAGUGGCUAAUCCCGCAUACCUUUGGCUUGGCCGAUAUCGGAUUAGCUAGUUGGUGGGGUAAAGGCUAACCAAGGCAACGAUCCGUAGCUGGUUUGAGAGGACGACCAGCCACACUGGGACUGAGACACGGCCCAGACUCCUACGGGAGGCAGCAGUGGGGAAUUUUGCACAAUGGGGGAAACCCUGAUCCAGCCAUCCCGCGUGUAUGAGAAGGCCUUCGGGUUGUAAAGUACUUUUGGCAGAGAAGCGGUAUCUGCAGAAUAAGCACCGGCUAACUACGUGCCAGCCGCCGCGGUAAUUC
rnacentral:rRNA from 1 species